CCUACGGGAGGCAGCAGUGAGGAAUAUUGGUCAAUGGUCGGGAGACUGAACCAGCCAAGCCGCGUGAGGGAUGAAGGUACAGAGUAUCGUAAACCUCUUUUGUCAGGGAACAAAGGCGGGGACGUGUCCCCGGAUGAGUGUACCUGAAGAAAACGCAUCGGCUAACUCCGUGCCAGCAGCCGCGGUAAUGCGGAGUAUGCGAGCGUUAUCCGGUUGUAUUGGGUUUAAAGGGGGCGCGGGCGGUCUGUUAAGUCAGCGGUAAAAGCCCGGGGAUCACCCCCGGCCCGCCGUUGAAACUGGCAGGCGCGAGUUGGAGAGAAGGAGGCGGAAUGCGUGGUGUAGCGGUGAAAUGCAUAG
rnacentral:rRNA from 1 species